GCCAUAAUAGGAAUCUGUUGUCCAAGGCAAGUAGACUGUGUCACCAGGAUGAAAAAAGGAUAAGGAGACCCCAAUAAUUAAUGACUUGCGAGAAUUUUAACUUAACCCCCAGGUUUCGUCAAAGAGUUCCUUCAGUGUGUGUCCUGCUCAGUCGACAGUUAGGCCCUAACCCGGCAGCAUAAUUUAACCUUUUUAUACACUGUAGCUUUCAAGCAGACAACAGGUUCAUUAGAGCUAAACUCAAGAGGCAGCAAUUCCCAGAGCACCUGCCUUGCAAAGACUUCUCAUUGAGCUGCAUUGGGAGGUCUGUGAUUGGACGUUAGAAGUGGAGGGCAUGCAAAGGCUGCAGAUAAGAAAACUUUUACAAUCGCUUUUUAAAUAUAACCCCAAUGGGAAAAAAAAUGCAUAAUUAAAUGCAUGUUUUCGUUUUAAGUUUAUAUGCUACACUAGUGGUUCCCAAACUUUUUUCUCUUGAGUACGCCUUGGCAGCCCAUUUCCACAAAUUGUACCCCUUAUAUUAGCGAAAUAUUUGUAAUUAUUAUAGUUGCUGUUAUUUCAACUUGAUAUGCUUUUCUGUGUCCCAUCUCCCCCUUUCUUUGUUCCAGGCUCACCAUAGUGCAGAUACACACACACACACACACACAGACUGACACACAUGCAGAUACACAGAUACAAAUUCUGACACAGAUACAAACACUGACAUACAUACAGAUAUACAG